rnacentral:lncRNA from 1 species
UCAGCCUAUUUUUUUAUUCUUUUAAAAAAUUCACUAAUGUACAAUGUUUGUAGCUUUGUUGGCAGGGUUAUAAGUCAUGCUUGUGGCCUUGUGGUCUCUAGACCCCUUACAGCAAUAGAGCGGCUAGUAUGAAAAUGACUUAUUCCUUCAUUUCAGACCUGUCACUCCAGUUCAACAGUGACCUCUUCACCUCAACAACAUGCAAUAUUACCUAACUGUGAAUAUAAAAUAUAUCUGCAGCAGCAUGUGCCCCGUGGCAUUUUUCAUCGCAGACACACAGCGAUUCCAAGCCGGUGCCACAGAGGUUGAUUGUGUCUCUGCCAGCCCAUCACAGAAGCCCCAUCCAACUUCUCACCUGCAGCAUUCUGCUCUGUGGAUCUCACUCAAGGGUAAUUGGGAACUCACAUUCUGGGACCAGCUCUGCCUUUAUUCCCCUGCUCGGAUGCACUGACCCGGAUGUGUGAGGUACAAGUCAUGUUAAUAGGAACUUCUCACCUGCAGUCAUUCUGCUCUGUGGAUCUCACUCAAGGGGUAAUUGGGAACUCACAAUACUGGGACCAGCUCUGCCUUUAUUCCCCCUGCUCGGAUGCACUGACCCGGAUGUGUGAGGUCAAAGUCAUGUUAAUAGGCGCGGGGUGUUGCAGCUGCAUGAUUCGCGCUGUUUUUCCACGAGUCUGUUUGUGUGGAAAUUGCUCAUCGUAGUGAAUAAAUCUGUUUCCAGAGGACAGAGGAACACUAUUAGAAACAAACACAUGCUGAUUUAACAAAUUUAUGAACAAUUACUCUUUGAUAGCGCCAUCAAUUGUGUCUAUGUUGUGGAAAAGGUUACUCCAUCAUUCUCUUGGAGUGUAAAGCACAAACCUCCGGGCCGUUCGAGGGCUUCCCCACCUGUCCAUCUGUCAUUAGUCUCUGUGGAUCCGCAAUCAGCCGGCUCUGUUCCGGACAGGAAUAGUACAGUUGUCCUGCCGGACUCUGGCCUGUCCCGCAGCACCUGUUCUGACUUCAGGGACAGUUGUCUCUCCAUUUGUCUUUUGCCAUAGCAAAGUGUCCUUGGCUAUGGGCUGCCCUACUAUACAGUAAGAACAUAACGAUUUCUAAGUUAUCAAAGCUUUUUAUGACCGAUGUUAUCUGUAUAUUGUUUUCUCAUGUGCAUGUGACAUGGCUUUUAAAAAAACUAUUCAAAUAUUUACCUUCAUCAACACAAAAUGGCAUAACCCAUUAUUUCCAUAAUGUUAUGCAUUUCUUUUUACAGGAAAUUCGACAUCUACAACUCUAUAGAAACUGAACAGCAACGCCCUAGUGGUGAGUUUUGCACAGGUGAGAACCACUUGUUUUUAUUUAGCACAAUUUAGUACAAUUUAGUACAACGUCUAGUUGUCUAGUACAACUAUAUACAGUAACUGAAAAUUACAAGGAAAUGUAUUAUAUAUACCUUUGAAAAAGAUAUAUACCUUUGAAAUCCUGACAUGGGCACAAAUUUGUCCAAGGAAGCCCAAAAAAAAAAAAAAAAAAACAAUACACGGUCUAGUUGUCUAGUACAACUAUAUACAGUAACUGAAAAUUACAAGGAAAUGUAUUAUAUAUACCUUUGAAAAAGAUAUAUACCUUUGAAAUCCUGACAUGGGCACAAAUUUGUCCAAGGAAGACCCAAAAAAAAAAAAAAAAAAAAAGUCAAAUCAAUAAUUUUAGUUGAAUUUUAAUGACUACUGUUCAAAUUAAUUAAGAAAUUGAUACUUUUAUUAAGCAAGGAUGCAUUAAUUUGAUCGAAAGUGACAGUAAAGACUUUUAUAAUGCAACAAAAUAUUUCUAUUUUUUACAAUAAUUUUUAGUUGAAUUUUUAAUGACUACUGUUUACAAAUUAAUUAAGAAAUUGAUACUUUUUAUUAAGCAAGGAUGCAUUAAUUUGAU